UACGUAGGGGGCAAGCGUUGUCCGGAAUCAUUGGGCGUAAAGAGCGUGUAGGCGGCCAGAAAAGUCCGCUGUGAAAACUCGAGGCUCAACUUCGAGCUGUCGGUGGAAACUUUCUGGCUAGAGUCCGGAAGAGGAGAAUGGAAUUCCUGGUGUAGCGGUGAAAUGCGCAGAUAUCAGGAAGAACACCCGUGGCGAAGGCGGUCUCUGGGACGGUACUGACGCUGGAGACGCGAAAGCGUGGGGGAGCGAACAGG
rnacentral:rRNA from 1 species